CGCACCUUGCGCUCCUUGGUAUUCCGAGGAGCAUGCCUGUUUGAGUGUCAUUUAAUUCUCAACCACAUCAGCUUUGAAUGUUGAAUGUGAGUUGGAUAUGGGGGUACUUGUGCGGGCCUCUACGAGGUCAGCUCCCCUGAAAUGCAUUAGCGGAACUGUUUGCGGUCAGUCACCGGUGUGAUAAUUAUCUACGCCCAUGACCAAGGCUGCUCUCUAUCUGUUCAGCUCCCAACUGUCCCUAUGGGACAACUUUGAAUGUUUGACCUCAAAUCAGGUAGGACUACCCGCUGAACUUAA
rnacentral:misc_RNA from 1 species